rnacentral:miRNA from 1 species
CGCUGUAGUAGAAAAAGGGGACGGAGGGGAUUAAGUCGUUUCCGGCACAGCCGGGGCAAGAACGACUUAAUCCCCUCCGUCCCCCUUUUUUGUA